rnacentral:rRNA from 1 species
GGGGAAACGACAUCGAAAGCUUGCUUUUGAUGGGCGUCGACCGGCGCACGGGUGAGUAACGCGUAUCCAACCUGCCCAUCACUUGGGGAUAACCUUGCGAAAGUAAGACUAAUACCCAAUGACGUCUCUAGAAGACAUCUGAAGGAGAUUAAAGAUUUAUCGGUGAUGGAUGGGGAUGCGUCUGAUUAGCUUGUUGGCGGGGUAACGGCCCACCAAGGCGACGAUCAGUAGGGGUUCUGAGAGGAAGGUCCCCCACAUUGGAACUGAGACACGGUCCAAACUCCUACGGGAGGCAGCAGUGAGGAAUAUUGGUCAAUGGACGAGAGUCUGAACCAGCCAAGUAGCGUGCAGGAUGACGGCCCUAUGGGUUGUAAACUGCUUUUAUAAGGGAAUAAAGUGAGCCUCGUGAGGCUUUUUGCAUGUACCUUAUGAAUAAGGACCGGCUAAUUCCGUGCCAGCAGCCGCGGUAAUACGGAAGGUCCGGGCGUUAUCCGGAUUUAUUGGGUUUAAAGGGAGCGUAGGCCGGAGAUUAAGCGUGUUGUGAAAUGUAGACGCUCAACGUCUGCACUGCAGCGCGAACUGGUUUCCUUGAGUACGCACAAAGUGGGCGGAAUUCGUGGUGUAGCGGUGAAAUGCUUAGAUAUCACGAAGAACUCCGAUUGCGAAGGCAGCUCACUGGAGCGCAACUGACGCUGAAGCUCGAAAGUGCGGGUAUCGAACAGGAUUAGAUACCCUGGUAGUCCGCACGGUAAACGAUGGAUGCCCGCUGUUGGUCUGAAUAGGUCAGCGGCCAAGCGAAAGCAUUAAGCAUCCCACCUGGGGAGUAC